AUCCCAUGAUGAGGAAACUUAUGAAGCAACUCCUUAAAUCAUUCCCAAGCCUCAUACAGAGACUCAUCAUCCAAUUGUUAGAAAGUUGUGAUCUCAUUCCUCAACUU